AUAAGCAUAAGAGUUGAUAAAAUGAAUUAUUUUUAAAGAAACUAACAUAAAGAAUAUGGUUCAUCUUUUGGGGGAUUUAAUUAAACUAAAUAAAAAUUAUAAAGUUAGAGUUAAAUAACAAACAAUAAAUAAUCACAAUUAAAUAAUUAAAGAGUAAGAGAGAAAUUGAAUUUGGGCCUCCUUUUGGGCCAAAUUCGCUGGAUUUUGGGACCUAGGCUCAAUUCCCGUUUUUGUAUACACUGGUUGUAUAUCAGUGUAUAUCGGAUGAAUACGGCCCAUUUUUUUUGUGUAUAAGACUGUAUACCAAAGGUAUACAACCUAAUUCAACUUCCAAAACACCUGUUUCAAUUUUUGGCUUUACAUUUGUUGCGUUUUGAUGAGUAUAACAUGUAUACACAAUCUGUAUAUCAGCCCAUAUUUGUCAUUUUUCGACCUGUACACCUGCUUCCUUAAUUCGCCACGAUGACUGACUCGAAGAGAAAGAAAUCCGGGCCUCUAUGGCCCAAUAGGAAGAUGCGAGGAUGAGAGGAGCCCAUGAGGACUCGAGGCGAAUUUUACAUGUGACGAAACAAACAAAAAAAAUAAAAAUACGCAAGUGACAACCCACAUAUCCAAUAUAAGGAGUAUUGAUGUGAAUAUUUAUACCAUUGUAUUAGAGCCUAAACAUCAGGAAGAAAACAAAAAUGACUCCCACUAAUGUUUAAUCACAACAAGAACUAAACCGUGCAAAUAGGAGAAAAUAUCAUUCAUACAAGUACAACCAUAAACCAAAAUGUAGCAUGCUAUAAUAUCAUAUUUUCAAAUUUAUCCCAUGGAAAAGACAUACUGCAGGAACAAAUAAUUUAGGCUCUAAACACUCCUAAUAUUUAUCACAGUGAACAAACAAGCAUGCUAGAUACUAUCAUUAAGCCAAUAAACUCAACACCAUGUUAGGCAUAAAGACCAAUCUAAGACCGCAUAACGAGCAAUUCAAAUGGACAUGAAGGGGAUAUUUCGAACAACCCGCAAGAGAUCAAAUUUUAACUAAACAAAACAAAACACAUCAUUUUUAGCCAAAACCAUAAAAGGUGUAGCUAUAUUGGAGAAAUUACGAUGUUAGAAACUAUUUUUAAGGCAAACAAUUAAUGAAGCAUGCUCGGAACUGUACUAGAACAAGAGCAAUAAGCUUCUAAUAGUCAACAUCAUACACAUCAAGCCAUGUAUUUGUCAUUUUUGAAUAACAACCUUCAAAUUACCGUGAUUUUGAGAUAUGCUAUAAUCCAAAAUUUUGACUUAAACAAAAGGGGAAUCAACUUAAUGAUGAAAAACACAGAGUAAUGAACCCAAAGGACAUCUAGGCAGAUAAUCAAAGGCAAAUAUUCCAUUUUAACAUUAACGACAACAUUCCACUGCCGGUAAAAGAAUUAACCAGUAACUAAUUUCACAUCAGAAAACGAUCCAACAUUCACUAGGCCGCAAGACAUGAUAGAAUAAUUACGCCAAUGUCUCAGUGCUUCGUAACAGUAAACAGAGGGGAAAUACAUUUUCAGCUAAAGUCAUCAACA
rnacentral:lncRNA from 1 species